CCCAAGCCAUGUUUGCUGCUCUCGCAAGAGCUGCUGAACCAAUCUGCUUUCUCAGGGUUCCCCUAGCAAAGGAGCUUCCCAAAAUCUCCCUGUACCUCGCAAUCAGUUCUGGCCAGGAUGGCUCUGAAGCAGCUAACCUUGGCGAUUAAGCAAGACAUUCUGAUUAAACCAUCAGAAUAUCGACUGCACCAAAUGCACCAACACAGGCAGUAUUUCAACUGCUGAUCGUUGAGGAAAAGGGAAGAGGAGGAUUGAAGUGGCUGCUCUACAUUGCAUUAAUGUGGAUAAAAUGAAUAAGUCU